UAAAAAUCUUGUUCUCCUAUGUUGACCAUGUUUGGAAAUUCAGGACUAUGGCCAUGUUUGAUGGGAAGAAUGACAAUGCUUAUCAAGACCUGGAGGGUUUAAUAACAAGAGGCUGACAAUCAGAUUGAAGGGGAAGUUAACUAACUUGGGCAAAUUGACAGAAUUUCUAUCAUUCAUUACAGGUUUGUUUUUGUUGUGUGUACCGUUGGAUCAAAGCUCAGCUUUUCUCUCAACAAAGGGAGCUGGGGGGAGGAGAUAAAAAUGGUUGACCAAGUCUUCAAACAAGCUACCAUGGGUAUUCUACUCUUUUCUCUAUUCCCUUUUCUUUUUCCCACAAUUGUCUUCUAUCUACUCAAUGUUUCAACUUGGUUAUACUUUCAUGUGAUUUUGGUGAAAUGGAUUUUGUUGAUUUGGACAUCCUUAGUCACUUGUGAUUAGUUCUGAUUUUUGUCAAAUGGAUCUUCCUAGUUUGUUUUUUAUGAAUAUAUAAACUUUGCAGGAAAAAAAAGAAAGAAAGAAAAAGGUGAGUUUUGUAAUCGUCGUAAGUCUUGUGUUGACUUCCUUGUUCAGUGUUUAGAUGCUAAUUGCAAUUGUUCUAUUUGCAAAUUAAUUUCAUAUUUUGUUUUAGAAGAUACCAACAAUUGUCUUACUUUAUGAAAAUUAUAUAAUUUUAGUUUCCUAAAUGUAAUGAGUUCAACUUUGAGGGUAUAUACUGUUUGAGCCUUGAGGACAUAAUUUUUUACCUUAAAUCAUGUAUAAGGACGACCAAACAGAAAAUUGUUGUUGGUUAUGUUCUUGGAUUGUAAGUAACUAAGUAGUUGUUUGAAUGUACUAUUUUUAAUCUUUGA